rnacentral:rRNA from 1 species
GGAUUGCAGGCUGCAACUCGCCUGCAUGAAGCUGGAAUUGCUAGUAAUCGCGGAUCAGCAAGCCGCGGUGAAUACGUUCCCGGGCCUUGUACACACCGCCCGUCACACCAUGAGAGUCGGGAACACCCGAAGUCCGUAGUCUAACCGCAAGGGGGGCGCGGCCGAAGGUGGGUCCGGUAAUUGGGGUGAAGUCGUAACAAGGUAAC